UCGGGAAUUUUGGGCAAUGGGCGAAAGCCUGACCCAGCAACGCCGCGUGAAGGAUGAAGUAUUUCGGUAUGUAAACUUCGAAAGGAUAGGAAGAAUAAAUGACGGUACUAUUUAUAAGGUCCGGCUAACUACGUGCCAGCAGCCGCGGUAAUACGGAGGGAGCUAGCGUUGUUCGGAAUUACUGGGCGUAAAGCGUACGUAGGCGGUGACUCAAGUCAGAGGUGAAAGCCUGGAGCUCAACUCCAGAACUGCCUUUGAAACUAGGUCGCUAGAAUCACGGAGAGGUGAGUGGAAUUCCGAGUGUAGAGGUGAAAUUCGUAGAUAUUCGGAAGAACACCAGUGGCGAAGGCGGCUCACUGGACGUGUAUUGACGCUGAGGUACGAAAGCGUGGGGAGCAAACAGGAUUAGAUACCCACGUAGUCCCUGAGCGGGCUGGCAAGGCGCAU
rnacentral:rRNA from 1 species